rnacentral:rRNA from 1 species
CCUACGGGUGGCAACAGUGAGGAAUAUUGGUCAAUGGACGAGAGUCUGAACCAGCCAAGUAGCGUGAAGGAUGACUGCCCUAUGGGUUGUAAACUUCUUUUAUAAAGGAAUAAAACGAGGCACGUGUGCCUUUUUGCAUGUACUUUAUGAUUAAGGAUCGGCUAACUCCGUGCCAGCAGCCGCGGUAAUACGGAGGAUCCGAGCGUUAUCCGGAUUUAUUGGGUUUAAAGGGAGCGUAGAUGGGUUGUUAAGUCAGUUGUGAAAGUUUGCGGCGCAACCGUAAAAUUGCAAUUGAUACUGGCAGUCGUGAGUACAGUUGAGGUAGGCGGAGUUCGUGGUGUAGCGGUGAAAUGCUUAGAUAUCACGAAGAACCCCGAUUGCGAAGGCAGCUUACUAAACUGUGACUGACAUUGAUGCUCGAAAGUGUGGGUAUCAAACAGGAUUAGAUACCCGAGUAGUC